CGUACACAACCUUCCUUCAAGAGAUGGAUAGCCCGGAGAAAUCCGGAUUAAUACAUCGUAACAUCACCGGGUGGCAUCACCUGAUGAUUAAAGUACCAGCGCUUGAAGAUGGGCGUGCGCCUGAUUAGGUAGUUGGUGAGGUAACGGCUCACCAAGCCGACGAUCAGUAACUGGCGUGAGAGCGCGACCAGUCACACGGGCACUGAGACACGGGCCCGACUCCUACGGGAGGCAGCAGUAAGGAAUAUUGGUCAAUGGACGCAAGUCUGAACCAGCCAUGCCGCGUGAAGGAUGAAGGUCCUCUGGAUUGUAAACUUCUUUUAUCUGGGAAGAAACCACUUUUUUCUAAAGGUGUUGACGGUACCAGAGGAAUAAGCACCGGCUAACUCCGUGCCAGCAGCCGCGGUAAUACGGAGGGUGCAAGCGUUAUCCGGAUUCACUGGGUUUAAAGGGUGCGUAGGCGGAUUUGUAAGUCCGUGGUGAAAUCUCCAGGCUUAACCUGGAAACUGCCGUGGAUACUAUAAAUCUUGAAUGUUGUGGAGGUUAGCGGAAUAUGUCAUGUAGCGGUGAAAUGCAUAGAUAUGACAUAGAACACCAAUUGCGAAGGCAGCUGGCUACACAAAUAUUGACGCUGAGGCACGAAAGCGUGG
rnacentral:rRNA from 1 species